UACGUAGGCCCCAAGCGUUAUCCGGAAUUACUGGGUGUAAAGCGUCUGUAGGUGGGGAUAUAAGUCUCUCAUGAAAGACCGGAGCUCAACUCCGUGUUUGUGAGAGAUACUGUAUUUCUAGAAUCGGGGAGAGGGAAGCAGAAUUGUAUGAGUAGGGGUGCAAUCCGUUGAUACAUACAAGAAUACCAAAAGCGAAGGCAGCUUCCUGGAACCGUAUUGACACUGAGAGACGAAAGCGUGGGGAGCGAAAAGG
rnacentral:rRNA from 1 species